GAUUUGGACGUACCCACUGCUAUUGGAGACAGUCCAAUGGAUCAUAACCAAUUUGGGUGAAUAUAUACUUUUCUUUUCUUCAAUUAAUUUAGCUAUUUUUUUUUAUCUUUGUUUGUGGAGAUACACUUCUGUAAAGGAGUACAACUAGAGGGUGCCUCAUGGAGUGAUACAAAAAGAGAGGGGGCAGAUUUAAGGCUAUAUGUCCUUGAGAUAUUAAUUUAUAUGCUGAAAGGGACAGGUCCUAACUAUGAUUUAUUGUAAAGAUGAGUGAAUUCACACUGAGGUGAGCAUGCAGGCCUACUUUUCGACUGUUGGGACUCUUGAGCUAUUUGCUUGAUGGCACAUGAAUGGAGUUGCUAAGUAAUAGAGAUAAUAUCGCUAAGUGAACAUUUAAAUGGGUUUCCAGAUUAAGUGUUGCAGUGAUCUUAUGGCUUGAAGUUAGCAAGCUGAUAAUGAUUUUAUGGAAACCUCCUACAACAUAUGGUCUUCUUGACUCUUGAAUUCACAGAAAUCAUUUAUGCCUUCUGCCUAAAGGAUUUCAACCACAAUGUUGUCUAUGGGGAAUCUAUCUUGAAUUUUAUCCAUAUCUAUCACUUUUGCUUCUCAGUCUGUCAAACCUUCCUUGGGUACUAACUAAAAUCACCUCUUCAUCUGCUAACAUUGUGGAUAGUACUAGACACUGCUGUCUCAUUACUUUGUCUGCUUCCUUUGGAAUUUGGAACAGCAUUCAUUUGGCCUCUAUUUCACUGUUUUUAGUUGUAACCUUUCUGGAGUUUGUUUCUUCCUGGUCCACUGCUAAACUCAGAAUAUAG
rnacentral:lncRNA from 1 species